GAUGAAGAACGCAGCGAAAUGCGAUAAGUAAUGUGAAUUGCAGAAUUCAGUGAAUCAUCGAAUCUUUGAACGCACAUUGCGCCCGCGAGUAUUCUCGCGGGCAUGCCUGUCCGAGCGUCAUUUCAACCCUCAGGGCCCGCCUGCUUCGGCAGGCGCGGCGCUGGUGUUGGGGAUCGGCCUAACCGCCGUCCCCCAAAUACAGUGGCGGUCUCGCUGCAGCCUCCCCUGCGUAGUAGCAACACUCGCAUGCGGAGCGCGGCGCGGCCACGCCGUAAAACCCCCGACUUUCUGAACGUUGACCUCGGAUCAGGUAGGAAUACCCGUUGAACUUAAGCAUAUCAAUAAGCGGAGGA
rnacentral:misc_RNA from 1 species